GCGCGAAAACUUCGCAAUGGGGGAAACCCCGACGAGGGAAAGCCAAGUGCCAGCACAAUGUGCUGGCUGUUUUCCUGUCUAAAAAACAGGGAGAGUAAGGGCUGGGUAAGACGGGUGCCAGCCGCCGCGGUAAUACCUGCAGCCCAAGUGGUGCUCGUUAUUAUUGGGUCUAAAACGUCCGUAGUCGGCUGAGUAGAUGCCCGGGUAAAUCGCAGCGCUCAACGUUGCGAAUUCCGGGUAGACCGCUCGGCUAGGGAGUGGGAGAAGUGCGAGGUACUCUGAGGGUAGGGGUAAAAUCCUGUAAUCCUUGGGGGACCACCAGUGGCGAAGGCGUCGCACUAGAACACGUCCGACGAUCAGGGACGAAGCCCUGGGGCGCAAACGGG
rnacentral:rRNA from 1 species